GAUCCUGGCUUAGGAUGAACGCUGGCGGCGUGCUUAACACAUGCAAGUCGAACGAAGCUCUGCUUAAGGAUCUUUCGGAGUGACUAAAGUAGAUGACUGAGUGGCGGACGGGUGAGUAACGCGUGGGUAACCUGCCCUAUACAGGGGGAUAGCAGUUGGAAACGACUGAUAAUACCGCAUAAGCGCACAGGGUCGCAUGACCCGGUGUGAAAAACUCCGGUGGUAUAGGAUGGACCCGCGUCUGAUUAGCUAGUUGGUGAGGUAACGGCUCACCAAGGCGACGAUCAGUAGCCGACCUGAGAGGGUGACCGGCCACAUUGGGACUGAGACACGGCCCAAACUCCUACGGGAGGCAGCAGUGGGGAAUAUUAAAGCACAAUGGGCGAAAGCCUGAUGCAGCGAACCGCCGCGUGAGUGAUGAAGUAUUUCGGUAUGUAAAGCUCUAUCAGCAGGGAAGAUAAUGACGGUACCUGACUAAGAAGCACCGGCUAAAUACGUGCCAGCAGCCGC
rnacentral:rRNA from 1 species